rnacentral:tRNA from 2 species
GCCGCCGUGGCUCAGCCAGGCCCAGAGCACCUGAAUACCGUCUUCGACAUCUUGCCCGACACGGGCCGGCAGAGGAUGGUUAUCGUCAAUCAGGAGAUCGCAGGUUCGAAUCCUGCUGGCGGCG